rnacentral:lncRNA from 1 species
GGCUGAGGCCAAAAGAUCACUUGAGGUCAAGCAUUCGAGACCAGCCUGGCCAACAUGGUGAAAACCCUGUCUCUAUUUAAAAAAAAAAAAAAAUAGGGGUGUGGUGGUGGACACCUGUAACCCCAGCUACUCAGAAGGCUGAAGCAAGAGAAUCGCUUGGUUUCUUGGGGAGGUGGAGGUUGCAGUGAGCUGGGAUCAUACCGCUGCAUUCCAGCCUGGGCAACAGAGCCAGUUUCUGUCUCAAAAAGAAAGAAAGAAAGAAAAGAAAUGUAAAUAAGGCCAGGUGUAGUGGCUCAUGCCUGUAAUCCCAGCACCUUAGGAGGCCGAGGCAGGAGGAUCACUUAAGCAGAGGAGUUCGAGACCAACCUAGGCAACAUAAUAAGACCCUGUUUCUACCAAAAAAUUUUAAAAAUUGGCCAGGCACCAUGGCUUAAGCCUGUAAUCCCAGCACUUUGGGAGGCCAAGGCGGGCAGAUCAUAAGGUCAGGAGUUCAAGACCAGCCUGGCCAAUAUGGUGAAACCCCAUCUCUACUAAAAAUACAAAAAUCAGCCAGGUGUGGUGGUGUGCACCUGUAGUCCCAGCUACUCGGGAGGCUGAGGCAGAAGAAUCGCUUGAACCCGGGAGGCGGAGGUUGCAGUGAACUGAGAUCAUACCACUGCAUUCUAGGCUGGGUGACAGAGCAAGACUCUGUCUCAAAAAAAAAAAAAAAUUAGCCAGGCAUGGUGGCACACACCUGCAGUCCCAGCUACUCAGGAGGCUGACACUGCACUCCAGCCUGAGUGACAGAGUGAGACCCUGUCUCAAAAACAAAAACAAAACAAAAACAAAUUAAGUGUUGAUCUUGCACCACUGUAGUUUGUUGAAAGUCAUUACUGAUCGGCACUCAGCGUGCAUGUGAGCAUCUUGUCUACUAAUCUAUGAUCAGGGCAAGGAGAAAGAUGAUGGAAGAAGCCAGCACAGAGGAGUCCGCCGGGUGAAUGACCGGGUGGAGGGAGAGCUGCAGGGCUCCACCUAAACGUCCACCCAAAACAGCUCAUCUGGAUGCCUGUGACCCGACUGCUCACCCCCAUAGGACAGCAUGUGUCAGCAUGAGGGAGGUGAUCACUGCAAUGGAGCAUCAAUGCAGCUCUUCUACUUUGUCGACAUCAGCUUUCCCUUGGCAGUGCCUUUCAGCUCAUUCCAGCAUCCCGCUUUGCCUUGCCUUUGAGGUCCGACAUCCUGGGUCAUUGUGUAUUUAAGUCCUGCACAGUCGCUUGCUUGCAGCGGCUGUAGAUGAACAUCCUCUCAUCAUCUACUGGCUUGGUCUCAAGGCGCUUAAUAUCCUUGGCAGCUUUCUCAAACAACUGGCAGUUGUUGCAAGGAUUCCUGGGAGCCCACUGAGAAGGUACGGAGCAGGAAGCUAUUGGAACUUAAUUUUUCAAUUGCAAAACUAAUAUAGCAAUAUU